AUUGAACGCUGGCGGCAUGCCUUACACAUGCAAGUCGAACGGCAGCACGGGAGCAAUCCUGGUGGCGAGUGGCGAACGGGUGAGUAAUGUAUCGGAACGUACCUUUCAGUGGGGGAUAACGUAGCGAAAGUUACGCUAAUACCGCAUAUUCUGUGAGCAGGAAAGCAGGGGAUCGCAAGACCUUGCGCUGAUUGAGCGGCCGAUAUCAGAUUAGCUAGUUGGUGAGGUAAAGGCUCACCAAGGCGACGAUCUAUAGCGGGUCUGAGAGGAUGAUCCGCCACACUGGAACUGAGACACGGUCCAGACUCCUACGGGAGGCAGCAGUGGGGAAUUUUGGACAAUGGGCGCAAGCCUGAUCCAGCCAUGCCGCGUGAGUGAAGAAGGCCUCGGUGU
rnacentral:rRNA from 1 species